AGCAGGCCCGCUGUCUGCUUCCCAAAGUGACAGGCGAGCCUGCAGAUGAAUUCACUGCUAGCUUCAGCAGUCCCGGUCCUUGUAGCUUUCAAAGUAAUGGUGCUGUGAUUCAGAUUUUCGGAACUAGAAGUCCAGAAAUGGUGUAUACGCUCUAUAUUAAACUCGGAGGGAAAAUUCAUGUUACUAGGUAUGUCUAUACAAAUAGUAUUUUAACCUUUUCAUUGAGACUUGUAAAUGAUGCAGACUUUUAGUCUUAUGAAAUUUCACUUAAUUCUUCAUGUAGCAAAAGAGAAGAGUUUGUGCCUCCAUAGUUAUAACUGAAUUUGGACUUCUCUUCUGCUUGGAUAGAUGUAUAUAUAUUCUCAAACUCUUAAAACAUAAAUAUGUCAUAAGGUUAUAUUAAGAAACCAAAUGAAUUGAAAAAUGUAUCCUGUUACCUCAGUUUGGAGUAUGUAAAGUGCAGGUAGUAUUUUGGUUUCUGGACAGUGCAGUGUCUGUCACAGCUGCUUAUUCUGCUGUGGUGGUGUGAAAACAGGCAACGUGUCAGUGAGUGGCUGUGGCUGUUUGCCAAUAAAACUUUAUUUAUAAAGGCAGGCAGAGGGCCAGUUUGAUCCACAGGCCUGCUGACCUCGAUCUUAAAUGGUUGAAGGUAAUAUCCCAUUCAUAUUUAUGCUUUUAUUUAUCUUGAACUUUAUAUAACUACCUAAGUUCUGUUCUUUACCCAAAUAAUUACAGUCUGUGUUUUAUGAUCUUCAAAACCAAAGUAAAGAGCAAGGUUCAAUUACACAGGUAUCUAUUAGAAAACAUGAAGUAUUGAGCCUAAAUUAUGUGUUUUUUCUGUGUGUUGGGUUCCAACAUUAUUCAUGUCCUUGUUGCCACUCUCCCUUCCUGCAGACCCAAGUUACCUUGCACAGUAAGAACAAAUGGGUGUGUACAACGUUGUUUAGAGUGUUUUGAAGUUGAAUCCUGAGUGUUUGCAAGCAGUGAGAGUAAUAGAAACACAUACUUUAACUCAGAGAUGUGUACAACAUAGUGAUUCAGCAUUUAUGCACAUUACUCAGUGCUCCCUGUGAUGUGUGGUCACCGUGUCACCAUAUGAAGUUAGUGCAGUGUUAUUCACUGUAUUCCCCAUGCUGCACCUUCUGUUUCCGUGACUCUAUUUCAUAACUGGAAGUUUGUAACUUCUUUUUUUUAAUGUUUAUUUUUGAGAGAGAGAGACAGACAGACAGACAGAAUGUGAGCGGAGGAGGGGCAGAGAGAGAGAGAGGAAGACACAGAAUCUGAGAUGGGCUCCAGGCUCCGAGCCGUCAGCACAGAGCCUGAUGCGGGGCUCAAACUUAUGAACUGGGAGAUCCUGAGCUGAGCUGAAGUUGGACGCUUAACCGACCGAGCCACCCAGAUGUUCUCGAGCUGCUCCGGUCUCUACUUCCUCCUGGUGUACCUCACCCAUGGUAGGACCCAGAAGCUGUUCUUACAUGAGGAUUUAAAUAACAAGUAUACCAGUAUUUCAUUCUUGAAAACGUCACAGCUGCUAGGGAAAUCAUGUUACAUAAAAAUAGUUCUAUCACUUUUAAUGAAAAAAAGUGAUGUGUUUGAUCUCAAUCCAAGUUGCACAGUAUUCAGAGAGGAAAAUAAAUCAAGUGAAUAGUGAAAAAAUUUAACAGAAAUGAGCGUUAAAGCAAAUACGUUUAGUUUACUCAUGUAAUGUGCUGACAUACUAUCCUCACUAGAGGAGGAAGCAAAGCCUUGGUGGGAAAGAGAUGGGAGUCAUUCUAACUUCUACACCACUAUCCUUGCUGACAACUUACUCUUUGGGGAGGGACGUGGUUAUCUUUACUCACACGAAAUUUAAAAAUACAGCUCAGAGGGCACCUUGUUGGCUCAGUCGGUUGAGCGUCCGACUCUUGAUCUCGGCUGAGCUUAUGAUCUCGCGAUUUGUAAGUUCCAGCCCCCGUGUCAGGCUUGCUGAUGUCAGCACGGGCCUGCUUUGGAUCCUCUGUCCCCCUCUCUCUCUGCCUCUCUUCAGCUCAUGCUUUCUCUCUCUCUC